UGAUUCCCCCCGACUGUUAUCCUGUUUGCUGUUAGGUGAACUUCCUCAAUAUUUUUCAGUGGACGUUACUUUUGAUGUCGGGCUGUGCAAAUAUUUAAACAGGAGAAUACAACAAUACAACACAGGAGAGCGGCGCGACCAGACAAGGAAAUGCUAGACAAAAGGGAUCCUUUUUGUUAUAACGCCGCGCCAUUUCAGCCAGGUUGCGCUAAUUUGUGAAAUGACUUCAUGGGGAGUUUCCAAGCCAUGGCAAACAUUUCCAAACAGAAUGGUGGUUUUUCGGGUGCGUUAAUUUUAGUAAAAGAUUCCAGAAAAGUGCAGUGAUGUAUCCGGGAAGGCAGUCUGGAAAAAGCGGUGUCUCAUGAACAGACCCGUUAACAGGCAUUUCCAGUGCAUUCGACGAUUGGCGGAGAACCCAAAGCAGGGAAGCAACGAGUUCGUCUAAUGAAGUUCCUACGAACCUUAUAUAACUUCCAGAACGAGGAAGAAUUUGAAUGAUGAUCGUCGUCGGUGGUAGCAGUAUUCAUGAACGACCGAAACAGACAAUCCAAAGCAGGAGAUAAGGUCAGACGUUUUAAUUUUUCUAGAAAUAUCGCUCUAGGUAUAAAAUCAGG